UCCUGGUGGUUGGUGGGUUUUUCUUGACCUCUGAGCUGGGCUGACUGGUGCCAGCACUAGCAGAGGCCUCCACUGUGGUCAAAUUCGGGAGAGGUAGGGCAGCCUUCACUGCUCCCACCAUGGGGGCGGGUGGCAUUGCCGCACGCUCGCUACGCAUGGUGCUGGCGUCCGCCAAGUGCCGUUGUGGUACUGCCCCCCGACGUACCACUUCGGCAAAAGAUGUGCUCUGUGCAAACGUUGGUGAGAUGCGUUGUCUUGCUUCUCUGAAAGUUAUGUUUUCUUUUACAUUUAUCGCAAUUAUUUCUUUUUCUUUUUUCCAGACUGCGCAUGAUCCGAGAAUAUGCAGGGUGGCCACCAUUACAAUUGCUACAAUGGGGCUCAGCCUUACAGUCAUCUGCAGAGUGAUCAUUGAUGCCGCAUUUCGCACAUGUUAGCCGCCCUCUGCAGCUUUGUGAAGCGUGGCCAAACCUCUGGCAUUUAAAACAAUCUCGUGGGUUGGGGAUGUACGGUCGUACUCUGAUUUUGAUAUAUCCAGUUUCUAAUGUCUCUGGUAACGUGCUAGAGCUAAAGGUAACUAUCAGGUGCUUAGUUGGCAGCUUCUUGUUGUCCCGUCUGAUCUUUAUUCUUUGUACGCUUAUUACGUUUUCAUCCUUCCAUCCUUCCAGGAGUUCUUCGGUCAAGUCCAUCAAGUCAAUGUCAGAAAUUACGCCUUUGGCUGUAUUCAUGGUUCGGUGUGCUGUUACACUGACGGGGAUGUCUCCAAGUUCUACAAGGUGUCACUUCCCACGAUGAUCCACGUUCUGUUCCCUGCCCUGGCUAUGGUUUUUCUAGACGUACCCCAACCGCAUCCUGCCUGGCAUGUCGACUACGACACAACUGUUUUCUACCACCCAAUGAAUGCCAGCAUCACUUCCAGACCGUUGACAGCGUUCGUGUGUCCGGCAGCGCCACUGUUCCCGGCAGCGUCACUCGACUUGCGGCCGGAAUACCUAUCGCCACCAACAUCAAUUCGCCCAUCAGUUAUAAAAGAGCAGGCGCGCACGGAGGCGUUUUGUGGGCCCGGCUGAUGUUCUACAUGCAGUGCAUCCUGAGGGCUUCUCUUUGGAGGGAUCUGUCACCUUGCACAGGCUUGAAAGCUUCAUGGCCGCCGAAAACAGCCCUUUUACUCCUGCUCGUUGCCCGACCCUUUUAUUGUCAGCCGAUAAAUAAAU